rnacentral:rRNA from 1 species
GACGAACGCUGGCGGCGUGCUUAACACAUGCAAGUCGAACGGAAAGGCCCUGCUUUUGUGGGGUGCUCGAGUGGCGAACGGGUGAGUAACACGUGAGUAACCUGCCAUUGACUUUGGGAUAACUUCAGGAAACUGGGGCUAAUACCGGAUAGGAGCUCCUGCUGCAUGGUGGGGGUUGGAAAGUUUCGGCGGUUGGGGAUGGACUCGCGGCUUAUCAGCUUGUUGGUGGGGUAGCGGCUUACCAAGGCUUUGACGGGUAGCCGGCCUGAGAGGGUGACCGGCCACAUUGGGACUGGAAUACGGCCCGGACUCCUACGGGAGGCAGCAGUGGGGAAUAUUGCACAAUGGGCGGAAGCCUGAUGCAGCAACGCCGCGUGCGGGAUGACGGCCUUCGGGUUGUAAACCGCUUUCGCCUGUGACGAGGCGUGAGUGACGGUAAUGGGUAAAGAAGCACCGGCUAACUACGUG